AUUGAACGCUGGCGGCAUGCUUUACACAUGCAAGUCGGACGGCAGCACAGAGAAGCUUGCUUCUUGGGUGGCGAGUGGCGAACGGGUGAGUAACAUAUCGGAACGUACCGAGCAGCGGGGGAUAACUAAUCGAAAGAUUAGCUAAUACCGCAUAUUUUCUGAGGAAGAAAGCAGGGGACCAUUUGGCCUUGCGCUGUUUGAGCGGCCGAUAUCUGAUUAGCUAGUUGGUGGGGUAAAGGCCUACCAAGGCGACGAUCAGUAGCGGGUCUGAGAGGAUGAUCCGCCACACUGGGACUGAGACACGGCCCAGACUCCUACGGGAGGCAGCAGUGGGGAAUUUUGGACAAUGGGCGCAAGCCUGAUCCAGCCAUGCCGCGUGUCUGAAGAAGGCCUUCGGGUUGUAAAGGACUUUUGUCAGGGAAGAAAAGGAUAGGGUUAAUACCCCUGUCUGAUGACGUACCUGAAGAAUAAGC
rnacentral:rRNA from 1 species